UAUAAUAAAUGAUGGCAGAUUUUUGACCGGCGCUCUGUAUAAGACAAAAUAUAAAAAUCAGUAAAGACUCCCCCGCGUUUUGCAGAUUACUCUCUUUGAUUUUCAUUGGUGGUUCCAUUUGAAUGGCAGUUAUCGUUGGUGUACUGGCGAUUGAUCAGGAUUGAUCGAUCGAGAUCACGCUGGGUGACAUUGUUCUCAGCUCGUUUAAAAUGCAGUUUAUUAUAGACUUUUUCGUGUCGCGCGAUCGUAGGAACGACUCUUCCUAAAACGUUUGUGCGACGUCGAUAUCAGAACUUCCGCACUUAAUUAAACGCGAUCGGACGACUGUCGGUUCACGAUGACGUUCGAGGCAAUUUUAUUUCUUUUAUUAUAGGCAAAAACUUGAAAACGAGUUUAGCACAGCUAAGUGUGGCGCGCGAAGAGCGCGGAUUCUCAAGUAUUACGCGAUUUGGCAGUCAUCUUAAUUACAAUAAUUAAUUACUUUAUACAACAAUAGCUUGCGUCGAGUGCCUGCCUAUUAUGUAUCUUCUAUUGCAAGAAUUACGAGUAUUCGAGACUUUCUUUCCUUCCACAUUGCCGCGGAAACGCACGUACACGCGUAUGUGUAUAUGUGUGUGUGUAUGUGCGUGCGUGUGUGUGUGUAU